GGAAACCGGGAUUAAAUUACCCCCAUGACACGACGAGAUUGCAUGAUUUGGUUCGUCAAAAGAUUGAUCGGUUAUGAGAUGGGCUCGCGUCUGUUUAGCUAGUUGGUGGGGUAAAGGCCUACCAAGGCGACGAUCAGUAGCCGGCUUGAGAGAAGGUGGACGGCCACACUCGAACUGAGACACGGUCCAGACUCCUACGGGAGGCAGCAGUGGGGAAUCUUGCACAAUGGAGGCAACUCUGAUGCAGCGACGCCGCGUGAGCGAAGAAGGUCUUCGGAUUGUAAAGCUCUGUCCUAAAGGAAGAUAAUGACAGUACUUUAGGAGGAAGCCCCGGCUAACUACGUGCCAGCAGCCGCGGUAAUACGUAGGGGGCGAGCGUUGUCCGGAAUUAUUGGGCGUAAAGGGUACGUAGGCGGUUUUGCAAGUCCAUUGUGAAAGCCCAGGGCUCAACCCCGUAAAGCUGUUGAAACUGGAGAACUUGAGAGAUGGAGAGGAAAGUGGAAUUCCUAGUGUAGCGGUGAAAUGCGUAGAUAUUAGGAGGAACACCGGUGGCGAAGGCGGGUCUCUGGGCAGUAACUGACGCUGAGGAGCGAAAGCAUGGGUAGCGAACAGGAUUAGAUACCCUGGUAGUCCAUGCCGUAAACGGUGGGCGCUAGGUGUAGGGGUCUUCCACGACUUCUGUGCCGUAGCUAACGCAUUAAGCGCCCCG
rnacentral:rRNA from 1 species